UACGUAGGGGGCAAGCGUUGUCCGGAAUCAUUGGGCGUAAAGCGCGCGCAGGCGGUCCUUUAAGUCUGAUGUGAAAGCCCACGGCUCAACCGUGGAGGGUCAUUGGAAACUGGGGGACUUGAGUACAGAAGAGAAGAGUGGAAUUCCUGGUGUAGCGGUGAAAUGCGCAGAUAUCAGGAAGAACACCUAUGGCGAAGGCAGCUCUCUGGGACGGUACUGACGCUGAGACGCGAAAGCGUGGGGAGCGAACAGG
rnacentral:rRNA from 1 species